CCUACGGGAGGCAGCAGUGGGGAAUAUUGCGCAAUGGGCGAAAGCCUGACGCAGCGAUGCCGCGUGAGGGAUGAAGGUCUUCGGAUCGUAAACCUCUGUCAGCAGGGAAGAACGGUCACUGUGCUAAUCAGCAGUGAAUUGACGGUACCUGCAAAGGAAGCACCGGCUAACUCCGUGCCAGCAGCCGCGGUAAUACGGAGGGUGCGAGCGUUAAUCGGAAUUACUGGGCGUAAAGCGCUCGUAGGCGGUAUGUCAAGUCAAGGGUGAAAUCCCCGCGCUCAACGUGGGAACUGCCUUUGAAACUGGCAAACUGGAGUGUGUGAGAGGAUAGUGGAAUUCCAGGUGUAGGAGUGAAAGCCGUAGAUAUCUGGAGGAACAUCAGUGGCGAAGGCGACUAUCUGGCACAUAACUGACGCUGAGGAGCGAAAGCGUGGGUAGCAAACAGGAUUAGAUACCCUAGUAGUC
rnacentral:rRNA from 1 species